GCAUUAGCUAGUUGGUAAGGUAACGGCUUACCAAGGCAACGAUGCAUAGCCGACCUGAGAGGGUGAUCGGCCACACUGGAACUGAGACACGGUCCAGACUCCUACGGGAGGCAGCAGUAGGGAAUCUUCCGCAAUGGGCGAAAGCCUGACGGAGCAACGCCGCGUGAGUGAUGAAGGUCUUCGGAUCGUAAAACUCUGUUAUUAGGGAAGAACAUAUGUGUAAGUAACUGUGCACAUCUUGACGGUACCUAAUCAGAAAGCCACGGCUAACUACGUGCCAGCAGCCGCGGUAAUACGUAGGUGGCAAGCGUUAUCCGGAAUUAUUGGGCGUAAAGCGCGCGUAGGCGGUUUUUUAAGUCUGAUGUGAAAGCCCACGGCUCAACCGUGGAGGGUCAUUGGAAACUGGAAAACUUGAGUGCAGAAGAGGAAAGUGGAAUUCCAUGUGUAGCGGUGAAAUGCGCAGAGAUAUGGAG
rnacentral:rRNA from 1 species